rnacentral:rRNA from 1 species
GAACGAACGCUGGCGGCGUGGAUAAGACAUGCAAGUCGAACGGAGGGUUUUUGAAGCUUGCUUUAAGAACCCUUAGUGGCGAACGGGUGAGUAACACGUGAGUUACCUGCCCCGAGGUGGGAGAUAGCCCGGAGAAAUCCGGAUUAAUACCCCAUGUGAUCGAAAGAUUAAAGGCGGCGCAAGCUGUCGCUUCGGGAUGGGCUCGCGGCCUAUCAGCUUGUUGGCGGGGUAAUGGCCCACCAAGGCGAUGACGGGUAGCUGAUCUGAGAGGAUGAUCAGUCACACUGGAACUGAGACACGGUCCAGACACCUACGGGUGGCAGCAGUCGAGAAUCAUUCGCAAUGGGCGAAAGCCUGACGGUGCGACGCCGCGUGGAGGAUGAAGGCCCUAGGGUCGUAAACUCCUGUCAUCAGGGAGUAAAGACUCAUGUAGUCACUGACAUGGGUCCUGAUAGUACCUGAAGAGGAAGGGACGGCAAACUUCGUGCCAGCAGCCGCGGUAAUACGAAGGUCCCAAGCGUUGUUCGGAUUUACUGGGCGUAAAGAGUCUGUAGGCGGCGGGGUAAGUCAGAUGUGAAAUCCCGGGGCUCAACCCCGGAACUGCAUCCGAUACUGCCUUGCUAGAGUAUUGGAGGGGAGUCUGGAAUUCUCGGUGUAGCAGUGAAAUGCGUAGAUAUCGAGAGGAACACUAGUGGCGAAGGCGAGACUCUGGACAAUUACUGACGCUGAGAGACGAAGGCCAGGGGAGCGAAAAGGAUUAGAUACCCUUGUAGUCCUGGCAGUAAACGGUGCACGCUUGGUGUGGGAAGGUUCGACCCUUUCUGUGCCGGAGCUAACGCGUUAAGCGUGCCGCCUGGGGAGUACGGUCGCAAGAUUAAAACUCAAAGAAAUUGACGGGGACCCGCACAAGCGGUGGAGCAUGUGGCUUAAUUCGAUGCAACGCGAAGAACCUUACCUGGGCUUGACAUGCUGGUCGUAGACUUAUGAAAGUUUGUCGUCACUUCGGGUGGACCAGCACAGGUGCUGCAUGGCUGUCGUCAGCUCGUGUCGUGAGAUGUUGGGUUAAGUCCCGUAACGAGCGCAACCCCUAUGAACUGUUGCCAGCGGGUAAUGCCGGGGACUCUGUUCAGACUGCCCAGAUUAACUGGGAGGAAGGAGGGGAUGACGUCAAGUCAGUAUGGCCCUUACGCCCAGGGCUGCACACGUGCU